rnacentral:sRNA from 1 species
CCUGGUAACCAGCCUCUCCCCUCCCUCGCCCAUAAGGAGCAAGCGGCACAAAUCGGGCUCGAUGGAGGAAGACGUGGACACGAGCCCUGGCGGCGAUUACUACACUUCGCCCAGCUCGCCCACGAGUAGCAGCCGCAACUGGACGGAGGACAUGGAAGGAGGCAUCUCGUCCCCGGUGAAGAAGACAGAGAUGGACAAGUCACCAUUCAACAGCCCGUCCCCCCAGGACUCUCCCCGCCUCUCCAGCUUCACCCAGCACCACCGGCCUGUCAUCGCCGUGCACAGCGGGAUUGCCCGGAGCCCACACCCGUCCUCCGCUCUGCAUUUCCCUACGACGUCCAUCCUACCCCAGACGGCCUCCACCUACUUCCCCCACACGGCCAUCCGCUACCCACCUCAUCUCAACCCCCAGGACCCGCUCAAAGAUCUUGUCUCACUGGCCUGCGACCCAGCCAGCCAGCAACCUGGACCGUCCUGGUAUCUGGGAUAGCAAAGGUCUUCUUCCCUCGCCCCUUCUCCAUCGUCCCAGGAAUCCCAGGGGGCAGCACAGCCGCCCCCGGCCCACGUUUUCGGUGGAAAAUUAGAGUGAACAAGAACACCCCUGCCGACUCCCAGCCCGGCGGAAAAGACAAAACACAUAGACGCACACACGCAGGAGGAAAAGAAAAAACAAAGGAAAAAGAAGAAAAAGAAAAAAUAAAAACCCACCCAAGCAAGAAGACAAAAGGUAAAGACGCAACGUUUCCAACUCUCGGGACGCCAAGGCCGCAGGACUGGAGGGCCAGGCCCCGCCACCCCCACUGGAGACCCGGGACAGGGCGUCUUCCUAAAUUAAUUCAUCUCCUCUCCGCCUGCUGCUCCGGAAGGACAGACGCCGGCCACCCGCCCGCGCCCCGCGCCCUGGCUCUGUCCGGAGACCAGGUGAGCACAGCCUGGAGCCUGUGCCCAGGGCCGACAGGCGCGACACCCAGCAA